GAUGAAGAACGCAGCGAAAUGCGAUAAGUAGUGUGAAUUGCAGAAUUCAGUGAAUCAUCGAAUCUUUGAACGCACAUUGCGCCCUUUGGUAUUCCAAAGGGCAUGCCUGUUCGAGCGUCAUUUGUACCCUCAAGCUUUGCUUGGUGUUGGGCGUCUUGUCUCUAGCUUUGCUGGAGACUCGCCUUAAAGUAAUUGGCAGCUGGCCUACUGGUUUCGGAGCGCAGCACAAGUCGCACUCUCUAUCAGCAAAGGUCUAGCAUCCAUUAAGCCUUUUUUUCAACUUUUGACCUCGGAUCAGGUAGGGAUACCCGCUGAACUUAAGCAUAUCAAUAAGCGGAGGA
rnacentral:misc_RNA from 1 species